GCUGGAUCCACUCUGGACCCUGUAGCCAUUGGCAGCAUGCUGUCCUAAGAUCUGAUCUCUCUGCUGAGUUGAUAGUGCUGAUGGAGUUACGGUGAGCAAGCUGGUCCCAGCAUCUCCGAGUCACUUGGAAAUUGCUCUCGCGUUCAGUUUUAAAAGAGAAAUGGAUGCAGACCCCAAGCUCUCAGCUGAUUUAUCCAGCAGAUCGGGGAGAGAAAUCAGAGCCCUUCUUAUCUGCAGCAGUGCCAGGGAGCAGCUCUUUGAAACAGCACAAACAAGAGGCUAUUUCUGGCCCACACCAUCAGGAGCCCAGUUCUUCCCUUUUGCA